UACAGAGGUCCCGAGCGUUGUUCGGAUUCACUGGGCGUAAAGGGUGCGUAGGUGGUUGUGCAAGUCUGAUGUGAAAUCCCCGGGCUCAACCCGGGAACUGCGUCCGAUACUGGAAGGCUUGAAUCCGGGAGAGGGAUGUGGAAUUCCAGGUGUAGCGGUGAAAUGCGUAGAUAUCUGGAGGAACACCGGUGGCGAAGGCGACAUCCUGGACCGGUAUUGACGCUGAGGCGCGAAAGCCAGGGGAGCAAACGGG
rnacentral:rRNA from 1 species